rnacentral:lncRNA from 1 species
CCAGGAGGUCUAUGGAGAGAAUGUGAACGGAUGGAAAGGCCAACUUCACAAAACAUAUCAACGCUCCUAAGGAAGAGUCAUGUGGUCACCAAAGAUGGGUAUUUCCUGGGAUCAAAGAAAAGAAAAAGCAUUCCUGCUCCUAGGAGCUAAGGUGCCCCUCGGAAACGCCACACUCCAAAAGAGAUUGCAGAUUAGCAUUUGUGAGCACUGACCAUGAUGGGCAGACAGGAAGAGUGACC